UUCCUUUCCCUCUUGCCCUAAUUAUCAACACUCCUUCCUUCCCCCUCGCCACAUUGACUGCCGCCUACUUCUUCCCUCACACUUCCUGGUCGUUGACGUCGAUCAAGGCAACACGCCACCAGCCAACAACCUUCACUCUGUCCUUCUCCUUUUCUCUGUAAACCCUAAUCCGCCUCCACCACUACCGAAUCCCUUUUGUUUAUCCUAAAGGAAUAACACAACCAAGCUCAUAUCUCAGAUCAAGUACUCCGGCGUGGAGUUAAAAAUUAAGGGCCCGCUUCAGAUUCACAUCCUUGCUGACGUGCAAGUAUCAUUAUCUAUGGCUUUUUCAAGGAGUACUCUACCUCAGCUCACCUGUGACCUCGGCUCAUCUCUUUCCACCGGCGACCUCGGGCUCACUUCACCUCACCAGAGACUGCAACGAUUGCUCAAGUUUACAAACCCUAGAUUAGAUAAAGCUAAAUAUUGGUUUACAAGCCCUACUCUAUCAUGACCUCGACACUCCUCAACAACAAUACUAAUUGGAUCUCCGGAAAUGUAUAGGGCCUUGGUAGGCCCGUCUGAUUCUGUGCUGAUAAUGAUGUUCACUAUUAAAGACGCUUCUAAAUGGUGGAGUAUAUUAAAUGUCUCUCCUAUUUGGCAAGAUUGAAUAUUCUACCUUCUCGCUCUUCUCUAUAGCCUCACUGCGAUUGUCGCUAUGAUGCAAUUGAUUCGAAUUCAGCAAACAGUACAAGACUAUGAUAUCAACAAAAGUAUCAUCUGCAACAUGUCAAGUUGUGACUGCAGGGUGGGACAAAAAGAUAAAAUGUUGGGAUUGAAGGUCAACAAAGACUCUUACUGCUGUAAAUACUGUUAAUACAGGGGUCAAAUCUAUAUCACUAAGUGAUUAUUUGAUUUCAAAGGUGAUCAAGGUUCUUCCACAAGAGACUGAGACACUAAGAAAACCAAAAUGGGAUGCUGUGUUGGUGAGCCAAUAUCUUUCUGAUCUAAGAGAAGUCAAAAAAACAAGGGAAAAAAGAGAGAAGGAACAAGGAAGCUCAGGGUGUUCUUGCAGCUUCAACUGCUGCUGCUGCAGCUUCUUCCAGGAUUUCAUCUUUCAGGAAAGAUACACUUGAAGAAUCCGCUCACUAUGAGAAUAAGUUGAAGAUAAAAGCUUUUGGAGGGAGAUCUGCAGUUCAUUGAUUCUUCACCAUCAACUUUAGAUUACAAAGGGCAUUCUAGGGUUUGUGACGUUUGCAGACAGGAGGAAACAGUUUUGAAUCCGGUUAUUAUAUGUUCUAGUUGCAAGGUUGCAGUUCACAUAGAUUGUUAUCGUAGUAUGAAAGAUUCUACAGGUCCAUGGUUUUGUGACUUAUGUGAAGAUUCAUUGUCUUCUAGAAACAGGGGGGUCCCAUCUUUUAGUUACUCAGAGAAAGCGUCUCGUGUAGAUUGUAGUGUGAAUUGGUUAUUUGUUAAGAGAGUCAGUAUGUUCAUCUUCUUCAUCUAUACCCCCCCCCCCCCCCGGGUGGGGUUCGCACUGGUUGUGUGUCACCAGAUGUUAGUUCAGAAUCAGCUACAACUUCCUUAAGAGGAGGAUACACAAAUAGCUACAAAUCAUGUAGUGAAACCAUCAUCCAAAGAUCCGAUGACAGAGCUUGGAUACCAAAUUCUUUUCUUUACAAGUAGCUAUCUCUAUCUUCUGGGAUAUGCAUCUCACAACCAUUUGUUUCUAUGACCUCUUAUGUUUAGAAAAUAGAGAAAAGUGGAGCUGCUUGUUUGGAUAAACUCGUUAUGACAGUGCGAAACAAAAGCUGGCAGAAUUUAUCUCUGAAUCGGGUAAUAUGUGUUGUGCAGAUUGUGGAACUCCAGAUCUAAAAUGGCUAUCUGUAAGUUUUGGAGCAUUUAUAUGCAUCAAGUGUUCACGAGCACAUAGAAGCCUUGGGGUUCACAUAUCAAAAUUAAGCCCUUGUUUCUUAAUUUCUCAACUUACAACAUCAAUUAUAUACCAAAUAUUUACAAUGAAGUUGACUCCACACUCCACACACAGGUGUUAUCAGUGAAUCUAGACGAGUUGACACAUGAAGCACUCAAACAGUGUCCUUAUGCCAAGAAGCACUCAAAUAGUGUCCUUAUGCCAAGUGUUAGCCAUGCAUUUCGCAACAGCUGGAAAAAGAAAAUCAAUGAACACAAACCACCUCCUAAGACUAGCAACUCAAUGAGAAAUAAUGCAACCUGUAAGAUUCUCACCUGCAUUUCAGUGAGAUCAUCUAGCCACAGAGGUUUGUGGGAACUACAUCGAACACAUGUUAAAUAUUCUGAAUUCAUGCUCUACCCAAGUUGUUGACAUUGUUAAAAAUAGCAUCUUACAAGGGGGACAAUCUCUUAAAGAUCUUUUCCCUUCUGUCAUUGAUUCAAUCAUUGAAACAUUAGUUGGAAAGUCAAAUGAGGAACUGAAACAACUACACGGGAUAGUUGCUGCUUACAGAAUGACCAAAAAACCACCUCCUGUGAGACAUUCCCAUUAUGACUCGGGGGUGUUGCGUGUCACACCCCGAAAACCGAAGGUGGAAACAUUUCCGGGGUUGACUCCACGUUGAGUAUCAAAUCCAAUGUACAUAGUAAGUAAAGUGAAACAAACAUUACAUUACAUAUAGAAAAGUUUUACAUUGUUUCAAAAGUAAAGUUAUACAGUUGUGAUACAUAGUAUAAAAUAACAAAACGAGCGUAACUUCGGAGCACUCCAUCCUGAACAAAAAUGAUCUUCGGGUACCUGUUCUAUCAAUGACCUGAGAACACAAGCAGUUUAAAAAUCAGCAUAACGUUGGUGAUUUCAUAAGUGGUUUUUGUUUGUGAAAUGUUCAUGUUUCCUUUCUGUUCCUGAAAAUGUAACACACGCCAAGAAAAUCCCACAUUUUCUUAAAAAGUUGGUUGUUGUUUCACAUUAUGUAAAGUAAAGUUGUACACUGAAAACACAUUUACCCUUGUGAAAAAUGUACAUUUAGGUUA